GACAGAGGUGCCAAGCGUUAGGCGGAAUCACUGGGCUUAAAGCGUGUGUAGGUGGAUGUCUAAGUACCUUGUGAAAUCCCAUGGCUCAACCAUGGAACUGCUUGGUAUACUGGAUGUCUUGAGCCACUUAGGGGCUACCGGAACAAAUGGUGGAGCGGUGAAAUGCGUAGAUAUCAUUUGGAACGCCAAUGGUGAAAACAGGUAGCUGGGAGUGUGCUGACACUGAGACACGAAAGCCAGGGGAGCGAACGGG
rnacentral:rRNA from 1 species